GAUAGGGAAACACACUGAAGGAGCCAAGGUGACAUUUUUAGAGCCUGAAUCAAUCAAUGUGGAGGAAAGAGUCAUGGACAUUUAUAACGUUUGAGUAUCAAUGGGAUUACACUCAGGGGCCCAAAUCUUCUUAGCAUAUCAUAUGUUGCACAAGUGUCUAAAAAAAGAAUAUCCAUUUGUCGUAGUAAAAAUGCUUGCAUAUUUUUCAGUUUCAGUGGAGUAGGACACCCCCGUCCCUGCUUUAAUUGGUACAUCCCAAUAAAUUAAAUUAGGCACAGAUGGUGCUGCUGCAUUGGAGGUCAGUACAUGUCCUGCCCCUUUACAACUAUAGCAUUGUCUGUGACCAAAACACAACGUCUAACAUCUCUUAUUAAAGAUGGGGGAGAGGGUGCAAAGUCACAAAAGCUUAGUUUGUUCUUUUUUAGAUUGUAAAGCUGCCUUCACUAAGUCAUGGAGGCUUGACGCUCAUCUUUGCAAACACACAGGAUUGAAACCCUUCACAUGUGAGGAAUGUGACAAGAGCUUUAGCGCUCGCUAUCAACUCAGCAGACAUCAGCGCAAUCACAGUGGAGAAAAACCACACAAGUGUCUGGCUGAUGAAUGCUCCAAAGGCUUUGGGACAUACACUAGCAUGAAGAACCACAUGGCUCGGGUUCACCAGCACAAGGAUAGGCUAUAUCGAUGCGACCAUAAGGGAUGUGGAAAGGAUUUCAGCAAGAAGAACCAACUGAAAGCCCAUCUGGAUGAACACCUAGGGUAUCUGCCUUUUCCUUGUACUGUCAGUGGCUGCACAAGAGAAUUUCUCUCUCUCAGAAAGCUGAAGCAUCAUGAGAAAGUGCAUGAAGGUUACCCUUGUGAGAAUGAAGCGUGUCCUUUUCAGGGAAAGACGUGGACAGAAUAUAUGAAGCACAGAAAAGAACAUAAAGUCAAGGUGCAUUGUGGAGAGUGCAACAAGCUGUUUAACAACGCCUGGUUCAAACAACAGCACGAGCUGCGUGUCCACUCUGAAGACAAGAGGAUGCUGUCGUGCAACAGGAACGGCUGUGACAAAACGUUCACUCGUCGCUUUAACCUGGACAGUCAUGUGCUGGGAGAGCAUGAAGGCAAGAAGCCCUUCAGCUGCUCGCACGCUGGCUGUAGGAAGAGCUUCGCCAUGAAGAGCCCCUCCUCCAACACACACGAACGCGCACAUGACCAAUGAGGGCACGAGAUACAUUUGUGCACAGAUGGCUGACAGGCAGGAAAGCCUGUGGCGACAUGGAGUGGUGCAUGACCCAGCAAAGAGAAAGCUGAAGAGACUGCGUCCGAAGAAGAACCAGCCCUGGCAUGUUUCAAAGCGUCUCAAAAAGGCAGUUCAUCAAGCAGAAACCACCAAGCUCACUGCGAAGCUGCGCAACACAACUCUAAAAGACAAACCAUAAACCAACAAACCCUGAGGCUUCAUUAUAUAAAUAUCUGGUUGCACGUGUUCACAUUAUGAUUUUCUGUUUAUAGUUUCUUUCUGGAAAUAUGAAAAUAAAGCCUCCUUAACACAG